rnacentral:rRNA from 1 species
GCACAGAGUUAGCCGGGGCUUAUUCGGGGGGUACCGUCACUAUCGUCCCCCCCAAAAGGAGUUUACAACCCGAAGGCCGUCGUCCUCCACGCGGCGUUGCUCCCUCAGGCUUGCGCCCAUUGGGGAAAAUUCCUUGCUGCUGCCUCCCGUAGGAGUCUGGGCCGUAUCUCAGUCCCAGUCUGGCUGGUUGUCCUCACAGACCAGCUACCCGUCAUCGGCUUGGUGGGCCGUUACCCCGCCAACGACCUGAUGGGCCGCAGACCCCUCCGACCGCGCCGUAAGGCGUUCUUUCUCACCGAAGGUGAGAACCGUAUGCGGGAUUAGCGCGGCUUUCGCCGAGUUAUCCCCCACGGUCGGGCAGGUAUCCACGUGUUCCUCAGCCGUGCGCCACUCACCCACCGAAGUGGAUGCGUGCGACUUGCAUGCAUUAGGCACGCCGCCAGCGUUCGUC